GGUAGUGUGGCCGAGUGGUCUAAGGCGCUGGGUUUAGGUUCCAGUCCGUUAAGGGCGUGGGUUCGAAUCCCACCACUAUCA
rfam:Clunio marinus genome assembly, contig: CLTMA_scaffold_001367